AUCAAAGCUUAUUUAUAGAAGGUCAACAAUUCUUUGUCCUGGUGUGCUAGAGUUUUCGAAGAGAAUCUGCUGGUCUUAAUUCAUGGGUAGGGAGGGGUCUUGGGUGUCCCUGUUAGCGAUGAGAUCAGAAACAUGU